rnacentral:rRNA from 1 species
UACAGAGGGUGCGAGCGUUGUCCGGAAUCACUGGGCGUAAAGGGCGCGUAGGUGGUCUUGUAAGUUUGUGGUGAAAGCCCGGGGCUCAACCCCGGGUCUGCCGCGGAUACUGCGAGACUUGAGUACUGUAGAGGCAGGUAGAAUAUCGGGUGUAGCGGUGGAAUGCGUAGAGAUCCGAUAGAAGACCGGUGGCGAAGGCGGCCUUCUGGGCUGAUAACUGACACUGAGGCGCGAAGCGUGGGGGAGCAAACAGG